CAGCCCCACAAUCUUGUUUUUUAAAAAAUUGAGGAAAGAGAAAAAAUGCAAGGCUGGAUUCGGCACCUCAGCCUUGAAGCAAGUGAGAGAGACCCAGAAUCAGGAAAUUCGGGGAGAAGCUUCAAAAAGGACAAACAGACUGGAAGCUUCCCAAACUCCUGCCGCUCUCCAGGGCUGUCUGCAGGCUCCUUGACUGCAGGAUACCACCUCCUGUCUGUGCUGCCUUCUUCCCCACAUCAAAAUGAGCUCAUGUCUGCGAAAGCUCCCUGUAAACUUCAAAUUGCUAUACAAUGUUAAGAUGUCAUUAUUAAUAUUAUCUAACAUGACAAACUCAGCUCAGAGAAGUUGACUUUCUCAGCUAGUUACUGGGAGAACUGAACUUUAACCCAAAUCUACUAGGACUGAGCCCAGCGCUCUUUCCUAAUCGGAUUAGCAGACCAUAAUCAUGUAAACUCAGAGACAUAUUUUCCCAGUGAAGUUGGAUAUAUCUGUAUGUUGGAGCUGUUUAGUUGACUUUAAACGGAAAUUAACUUUCAGUGACUAGUUUUGGAGAACAAAUAAAACGUGCAGAAAUUUUACAGGUAGAACUUUACACAAUGGCUCCCUUCAAGACGAGAUCCUUGGUGCCUCUCAUACCUUUCAACUGUGACUAUUAAAACAGAGUUCCUUAUGUCUAAGGGCUUUAAGAUGAAGCCAGGGAGCCAUCAAGGAAUGGGGGUCUUAGGCAUGUCCUCAUGGGGCAGAGCAUGACCUUUUGAACUGAGUAACUGCAAGAAAUCUGCAGCUCGUCACAGUGAGACUUCUGUCUCCCUCUAACUAGCUUUAUCCAUCAUGCUUAACCAAGAUUAGCUUUCUGUCACCAACCCUAAUUAACAAUUCUUUCUAAUAAACCUCUCUCUUUUGCCUUUAAAAGCCCCUGCCCCUUACUCCCUAGCGGGACACUAUUUGGGCUGCUUCCCAAAUCUUUGUACCCCAAAUGGCAAUUCUUUGAUCCCAAAAUAAACGCCUCUCAUUUUGACUAUUUUUAGGUUAACAUAACUUUGUUGCAACUAUUUCCUCUUUCUGUAGGGCUCCUUUACAAGAAAGGCCUAACAUCAGAUUGUGUUGCAGGAACAAAUUGAUUGCUCUAGUCUGAGAUUUGGCAACAGAGAAACUAUGCUGAGUCAACGUGACUAAACAUCGGGACACACCCAAGUUAUUACAGAAUAGGCAUUAUUUUAGGCAAACAUGUUUAAAUAUCUAAUCAAACAGCCAAUAAUUUUUUUUUAUUACUAAUGUUACAUGCUACACAGCCUUCCCAUUUCUUCGUUAAGGUGCUAACUAGCAAUAAAUAAAUAAAUAAAUAACUGCUUCCCAUGAUUGUUGGAAAACUCCAGCAAACUGGCUUAAGGAGAGCAGGGCUGGGACAAAGGCAAGACUCUCCCGCAGAUGAACGGAUAAAGCCAGGGCUUGCCAGAGCUGGAGCCGGAGCUGCAGGCUGCUUCAUGCUGACCUUUAGUUUUUAGGAAAUCCUCACAUGCUUGGCUUGGCUUAAGAAAAAAUAGUAAGAAUGUUUACUGUUCUCCUUAACAUUUUGCCUUAUCCUAACUCCCCAAAUCCCAAAUCAAAGCAUGGGCAGGAAUUCUACAAAAACAGCCCUUCUAUGCAAAUCUUCUAGGGCAGAGAAUUCUUUGAUUUAUGAAGGGUUCAGAAAAGGCCUGCCUAAGAUGCACCACUUUGGCAUGAAAUAUUUUCAGCUAAAGGCAAUGGAGACCCUGCGGACUCAAGAAACUUUUUACCUCUUCCUUAAAGAAUUUCAACUGGGGACUUGUCCAUAAUAAGAGCUAUUACCAGAAAUAAACUUUUAUCACCAAUCAGUAUAGCAGGACAAACCUCUAAUUAGUGGGCAUCUGCUCUUCUUAUUGCCCCGUGAAUUACUCCACUCCCCUCUGAAGCCUCAGGCCCCUAUCCCAUUCCUUAGCUCAAGACGGCACACGUACCUCAAUUCACCUCUUUGUCUCUGACCCUCUCAUGUCUGUGGGGUUCCCAUAUGUACAAAAUUAAUUAAAUUUGAUUUUCUCCUA